UGAAUACGAGACGCUAAGGCGUCGAAGUAGUGAAUGUCAUACUUCCAAGAAAAGCUUGCACUGUCAUAGAUAAAAAACGCCUGUACCAUAACCGACACAGGUGGGUAGGUAGAGUAUACUAAGGGGCGCGAGAUAACUCUCUCUAAGGAACUCGGCAAAAUAACUCCGUAACUUCGGGAGAAGGAGUGCCUUAUUCUUAAGGUUGCAAUAACAAGAUCCAAGCAACUGUUUAUCAAAAACACAGGUCUCCGCUAAGUCGUAAGACGAUGUAUGGGGGCUGACGCCUGCCCAGUGCCAGAAGGUUAAAGAAGCUGGUUAGCAAUUGCGAAGCUGGUGACUGAAGCCCUGGUGAACGGCGGCCGUAACAAUAACGGUCCUAAGGUAGCGAAAUUCCUUGUUGGGUAAGUUCCGACCCGCACGAAAGGCGUAAUGAUUUGGAUACUGUCUCGGAGAGGGGCUCGGUGAAAUAGACUUGUCUGUGAAGAUGCGGACUACCUGCACCAGGACAGAAAGACCCUAUGAAGCUUUACUGUAACUUGAAAUUGAAAUUGGACUUUAUUCGCGCAGCAUAGGUGGGAGGCGUUGAUUAUAAUCUUGCGGGAUUAUUGGAGCCAUUAGUGAGAUACCACUCUUGUAAUGUUAGAUUUCUAACUUUGAAUCAUUAUCUGGUCAAAGGACAGUUUCAGGCGGGCAGUUUGACUGGGGCGGUCGCCUCCCAAACGGUAACGGAGGCGUACAAAGGUUUCCUCUGAACGGUUAGAAAUCGUAUCUAGAGUGUAAAGGCAUAAGGAAGCUUGACUGUGAGACCUACAAGUCGAGCAGGGACGAAAGUCGGUCUUAGUGAUCUGACGGUACUGAGUGGAAAGGCCGUCACUCAACGGAUAAAAGUUACUCUAAGGAUAACAGGCUGAUCUCCCCCAAGAGUUCACAUCGACGGGGAGGUUUGGCACCUCGAUGUCGGCUCAUCGCAUCCUGGGGCGGUAGUACGUCCCAAGGGUUGGGCUGUUCGCCCAUGAAAGCGGUACGCGAGCUGGGUUCAGAACGUCGUGAGACAGUUCGGUCCAUAUCCGGUGUAGGCGUUAGAAUAUUGAGAGGAGCCUUCUUUAGUACGAGAGGACCGAGAAGGACAUACCUCUGGUGUACCAGUUAUCGUGCCAACGGUAAACGCUGGGUAGCUAUGUAUGGAGUGGAUAACCGCUGAAAGCAUCUAAGUGGGAAGCCCACCUCAAGAUAAGUAUUCCC
rnacentral:rRNA from 1 species